UUUUCCCCGAUUCUUUUCUUUUUUCCCUCAAUUCGUUCCUCUCUCAAUCCCUAGCUUCUGGCAGUUCAUUCCUUUCUCAAUCCCUAAUUUCUGAUUUUUCAAUUUUCCCAAUUCAGUGAGCCCCAACUCCAAUUCCUCCCCAAAUAUUCUCCCUAUUUCUCAUUUGGCCAUGUCAAUACCUCCCCCUUCAGAAGAUCUUUGUCCACAAGGAUCAAAAUAUGGAAAUUAGGCUCGUAAAAUAGUGUAGUCUUCCCACCUUGCCUCUUCCAUCCCCAAAUUCAUCCAUUGAAUCAGGAGCUGUGUAACUGCCUGAUAAUUUCUUUUCAUUAUCCGUUUGUUUAACACCGCAGAUGGGUAUACCUUCAAAUGACAUCAACGUUCAUCUCAGGCGGAUCGAGAGGGACAAAAAAACAAGCAACAAGUUUUAAGUUCUUGCGAAGUUCUAGGGAUGUUUAUUGGUAUGGCUGAAGUUUAAGGUAAAUCAGCUUUAUUUUUGCUACUUGUUGGAGUUAGUUGAUCAUCUUCCUUUGUGGUUUUGGCUAUCAUCUAAAGAAUCCGCUGAAGAUAACCUCUAUUCUCCGUAGAUUGAGCUUCCAAUGUAGAUAAACGUUCAUCCCAGUUGUCUCUUUGAGCUGUCCACCACCUUGGUACUUCUUCUGGCGCAACCUCAGAGAUUGGGUGCUUGAAAUCAAGAUCAAAUAUUAUUAAAGCUAAUGAGAAACUUAAGGAUGAAAUGAAAAAUCCCAAUGAAGGUUGCGAGCUAAGGACACCGGGUAUGAACUGCCCAAUGUUAAAUUAUGAUAAUAUACUUUGCCAUGGAUGGAUCAGAUACAAUAGAAUAUUUGCCCAAGUAAGUCGUUGAGGGACAGGGUAUAGUUGGCAUGCCAUAAGUCCAGCAGCAAGUUGCAUAUUCAGGAUUGCACUAAAGUAUUAGUGCAUAUGGCGGGCACGACUUUAUGUGUCAUAUUCGAGAUUGUACUUAAGGAUACUUAAUACAUAUGGUGGACACGACCUUAUGUGUCAUAUUCGGCUUAACACUACGAUGUUUAUUUAUAUUGACUCGUGUAC